ACUGCGAGUGAAGCGGGAAGAGCUCAAAUUUGUAAUCUGGCGGUCUCUGGCCGUCCGAAUUGUAAUCUGUAGAGGCGUCGUCCGCGUCGGCCCGUGUACAAGUCUCCUGGGAUGGAGCGUCAUAGAGGGUGAGAAUCCCGUCCAUGACACGGAUCAUCGAUGCUUUGUGAGGCGCCCUCGAAGAGUCGCGUUGUUUGGGAAUGCAGCGCAAAAUGGGUGGUAAAUUCCAUCUAAGGCUAAAUAUUGGCGAGAGACCGAUAGCGAACAAGUACCGUGAGGGAAAGAUGAAAAGCACUUUGAAAAGAGAGUUAAACAGUACGUGAAAUUGUUGAAAGGGAAACGCUUGAAGUCAGUCGUGUCCCGUGGCACUCAGCCUUGCUUUGGCUUGGUGUAUUUGCCUUGGGAUGGGUCAACAUCAAUUUUGGCCGGUGGAUAAGGGUGAGGGGAAUGUAGCGUUGUUUCGGCAACGUGUUAUAGCCUCUUGUCAAAUACGUCGGCUGGGAUUGAGGACUGCAGCACGCCCUUGUGGCCGGGGGUUCGCCCCAUGUCACGUGCUUAGGAUGUUGGCAUAAUGGCUUUAAGCGACCCGUCUUGAAACACGGACCAAGGAGUCUAACAUGCUUGCGAGUGUUCGGGUGGAAAACCCUUGCGCGUAAUGAAAGUGAAAGUUGGGAGCCUCCGUGAGGGGGUGCACUGACGCCCGGCCCUGAUGUUCUCUGACGGUGCUGCGGUAGAGCAAGUAUGUUGGGACCCGAAAGAUGGUGAACUAUGCCUGAAUAGGGCGAAGCCAGAGGAAACUCUGGUGGAGGCUCGUAGCGAUUCUGACGUGCAAAUCGAUCGUCGAAUUUGGG
rnacentral:rRNA from 1 species